GUUGUCUUGUGAAAAAGUAUAAAUUUCUAGUUAUAAGAUAAAUAAGUAGUAGGGAUGUAAGGUACAACAUGAUGUCUAUAGCCAACACUGC